UUAAAAAUAAGUUAUACUUUAUAAACUGUGGGUUUGUGGGAUCCAAAAAUCAAAAAGAGAUUUUUGAG
rnacentral:tRNA from 1 species